rnacentral:rRNA from 1 species
UACGAAGGGGGCUAGCGUUGUUCGGAAUUACUGGGCGUAAAGCGCGCGCAGGCGGUCCUUUAAGUCAGGGGUGAAAGCCCAGAGCUCAACUCUGGAACUGCCUUUGAAACUAGAGGACUUGGGUACGGGAGAGGUGAGUGGAAUUCCGAGUGUAGAGGUGAAAUUCGUAGAUAUUCGGAAGAACACCAGUGGCGAAGGCGACUCACUGGACACAUAUUGACGCUGAGGUGCGAAAGCGUGGGGAGCAAACAGG